UACGGGGGGGGCAAGCGUUGUUCGGAAUUACUGGGCGUAAAGGGCGCGUAGGCGGCUUUUCAAGUCGGGCGUGAAAUCUCCGGGCUUAACCCGGGAGGGUCGUUCGAUACUGUUGAGCUAGAGUGUGGAAGAGGCAACUAGAAUUCCGUGUGUAGCGGUGAAAUGCGUAGAUAUACGGAGGAAUACCUGAGGCGAAGGCGGGUUGCUGGGCCAACACUGACGCUGAGGCGCGAAAGCCAGGGGAGCAAACGGG
rnacentral:rRNA from 1 species